UAGGGGAAGUAAAAGUCGUAACAGGGUUCCCGUCGGUGCACCCUGCGGGAGGAUCAAUAUCGAGGUUCGGAAAGGGAGGGCUUGACGCUGGCCGCGAGGCAUGUUGCUCGGCCCUCCCUCUAGUCCGCUCAACCCCUGUGCACCUUAGAGGUGCGGUCCUCCGUCAUGGGAGCCAGCCCGCUCGAGAGAGCGGGCCGGGAUCGCGCCUCGCCCCUUUACCACACACCCCGUCUCGGUCUGGUCGAAUGUGAAACGCCCUCUGGGCGGAAUGGAAAUACAACUUUCAACAACGGAUCUCUUGGCUCUCGCAUCGAUGAAGAACGCAGCGAAAUGCGAUAAGUAAUGUGAAUUGCAGAAUUCAGUGAAUCAUCGAAUCUUUGAACGCACCUUGCGCUCCUUGGUAUUCCGAGGAGCAUGCCUGUUUGAGUGUCAUGAACACCAUCAACCUCCGGGGCUUUGUUGCCUCGGCUGGCUUGGACUUGGGGGAUUUCUGGCGGCCCUUCGCGGGGUCGGCUCCCCUUGAAUGCAUUAGCUGGUCGCUGACCCGGUCCUUUGCCCGGAGCGGAGAUCCUCGGUGUAGUACGCUAUUCACCUUGGAACGAGCUCCUUGACCGGUCGGCGCGCCGCUUCGAACCGUCCCUUCGGGACACGGCGCAUCGCCCCUUCGCGGGCUUUGCUUUUUUGACCUCAAAUCAGGUAGGACUACCCGCUGAACUUAAGCAUAUCAAUAAGCGGAGGAAAAGAAACUAACAAGGAUUCCCCUAGUAACUGCGAGUGAAGCGGGAAGAGCUCAAAUUUAAAAUCUGGCGGCUUCGCCGUCCGAGUUGUAAUCUGAAGAAGCGUAUUCCGCGUCGGACCGUGUACAAGUCUCCUGGAACGGAGCUUCAUAGAGGGUGAGAGUCCCGUCCAUGACACGGACCGCCGAUGCUCUGCGAUACGCUCUCAAAGAGUCGAGUUGUUUGGGAAUGCAGCUCAAAAUGGGUGGUAAAUUCCAUCUAAGGCUAAAUAUUGGCGAGAGACCGAUAGCGAACAAGUACCGUGAGGGAAAGAUGAAAAGCACUUUGGAAAGAGAGUUAAACAGUACGUGAAAUUGUUGAAAGGGAAACGCUUGGAGUCAGUCGCGUCGUCCGGGACUCAGCCUCGCUUCGCCGCGAGGUGUACUUCCCGGCAGACGGGCCAGCAUCGAUUUGGGCCGGCGGAGAAAGGGGAGGGGAAGGUGGCACCCUUCGGGGUGUGUUAUAGCCCCUCUUCCGGAUGCGUCGGCGUGGAUCGAGGACCGCAGCGCGCCUUCGAUGGCCGGGGGCUUCGGCCCCACGUAACGCGCUUAGGAUGCUGGCAUAAUGGCUUUAAGCGACCCGUCUUGAAACACGGACCAAGGAGUCUAACAUGCCCGCGAGUGUUAGGGUGCAAAACCCUUGCGCGUAAUGAAAGUGAAAGUUGGGACCCUCGUCAUUGGGGGGCACCGACGCCCGGCGCUGAGCUCUUGCGACGCUGCUGCGGUGGAGCGUGCAUGUUGGGACCCGAAAGAUGGUGAACUAUGCCUGAAUAGGGCGAAGCCAGAGGAAACUCUGGUGGAGGCUCGUAGCGAUUCUGACGUGCAAAUCGAUCGUCAAAUUUGGGUAUAGGGGCGAAAGACUAAUCGAACCAUCUAGUAGCUGGUUCCUGCCGAAGUUUCCCUCAGGAUAGCAGAAACUCGUAUCAGAUUUAUGUGGUAAAGCGAAUGAUUAGAGGCCUUGGGGUCGAAACGACCUUAACCUAUUCUCAAACUUUAAAUAUGUAAGAACGAGCCGUCUCUUGGUUGGACCGCUCGACGAUUGAGAGUAUCUAGUGGGCCAUUUUUGGUAAGCAGAACUGGCGAUGCGGGAUGAACCGAACGCGAGGUUAAGGUGCCGGAAUGCACGCUCAUCAGACACCACAAAAGGUGUUAGUUCAUCUAGACAGCAGGACGGUGGCCAUGGAAGUCGGAACCCGCUAAGGAGUGUGUAACAACUCACCUGCCGAGUGAACUAGCCCUGAAAAUGGAUGGCGCUCAAGCGUGCUACCCCAUACCUCGCCGUCAGCGUUGAAGCGACGCGCUGACGAGUAGGCAGGCGUGGAGGUCG
rnacentral:rRNA from 1 species